rnacentral:rRNA from 1 species
UACGAAGGGGGCUAGCGUUGCUCGGAAUUACUGGGCGUAAAGGGCGCGUAGGCGGGUCGUAAGUAGGGGGUGAAAGCCCAGGGCUCAACCCUGGAAUUGCCUUCUAAACUGGCGACCUUGAGUAUGGCAGAGGUGUGUGGAACUCCGAGUGUAGAGGUGAAAUUCGUAGAUAUCGGAAGAACACCAGUGGCCGAAGGCGACACACUGGGCCAUUAC